rnacentral:rRNA from 1 species
CAAUAGCGUAUAUUAAAGUUGUUGCAGUUAAAGAGCUCGUAGUUGGAUCUGUGGUGUGCGGUGGGCUCCGGGCACUUGUUGUCUGAGUAGCUCGCCGCUGCCAUCCUUGGGUGGAACCUGUGUGGCAUUAGGUUGUCGUGCAGGGGAUGCCCAUCGUUUACUGUGAAAAAAUUAGAGUGUUCAAAGCAGGCUUAUGCCGUUGAAUAUAUUAGCAUGGAAUAAUGAGAUAGGACUUUUUCGCUAUUUUGUUGGUUUGCGCGAAGAGGUAAUGAUUAAUAGGGACAGUUGGGGGUAUUCGUAUUCCAUUGUCAGAGGUGAAAUUCUUGGAUUUUUGGAAGACGAACUACUGCGAAAGCAUUUACCAAGGAUGUUUUCAUUAA